UGGCGUGUUGCUUGCUGGGCACCUACAGCCAAUCAGUGAUAUCCUAACACCUGCACCAACACAACUUAAAACUGCACUUGGUAGCAGCCAGUACGAGAUUCGUCUGAUUUGGGCUGCGGUGGCUGGUCAUCAAAACACAGUAUGAGGUGAAUUGGCUAUCAUCAAUGAGGAGUUCAAGCUCAGUGAAAUCUCAUGGUCAUCUCGCGGGCACAGCACUCACAGUCCACAGAUUUUUCUACAGGAUUGAAGUCUGGGCUCGGCAAAUCGUUGGCUGUGUACUUUGAAUUGUUUUUGUUUUGAAAGGUGACUUUUUCUUAAGCUUUCUGGCAGAGGGCAGCAUCGUGGCAAAAUAUUUUUAUAUUCAUUGUUCCCUCUAUUCCGACCAAAGGGUCUGUCCCAGCCUUAAAGAAGCAGUGCAUGCUUUCCUUGGUAGUAAUAACUGAGUGUUUCUCAACCCUGCUUCUGGACACCCCACCUGCCCUGCAUUAACGCACCUGAUGCAGCUUAUCUAGGACUUGAUAAUGAGCUGAUCAUUUGAAUCAGGUGUGACAGAGCAGGGAGAGGUUUAAAACAUACAGAGCAGUGUGCCUCCAGGAGCAGGGUUGAGAAACACUGCUUUAGGUGAUAAACCAUGUUGGCUUUAUGCUAAUUAGGCCAAAGACGUUAUGCCAAGUUCUCAUUAUGUCCAUACAUUCUCCCCACAUUGUUGUGGGAGUUUGAAUGCCUCUUCUUGCAAAAUGUAUUAGCAUGGAUUUUAUUUUUUAUGAGAAAUUGCUUUUGUCUUGCCACCACACUGUACAGCUCAGACUUGUGGUAAAUACACAAAAUGGUGGUACUAUGCAGGGAGUACCCAGUUCCUGACAGAAAAUUCUGUGUUUGUGUUUUAGUUGCCUUGAUGAGAUCUCCACUUUCCCUGUCAUCAAUUUAGAGGGACAUUCUGAUCUUUUCAAUGUCCUUGUGUUGCCAUCUUGCCUCUGUUUUCUUAAAGAUGUAAUGCCAUGUUGAAUGCUUUAAUAUUCCUCUCUUGAUCUGAACCUUAAAAUAAAACAUUUUAUUCAG